rnacentral:rRNA from 1 species
AGCGUACACGGUGGAUGCCCUGGCAGUCAGAGGCGAUGAAGGACGUGCUAAUCUGCGAUAAGCGUCGGUGAGGUGAUAUGAACCGUUAUAACCGGCGAUUUCCGAAUGGGGAAACCCAGUGUGUUUCGACACACUAUCAUUAACUGAAUCCAUAGGUUAAUGAGGCGAACCGGGGGAACUGAAACAUCUAAGUACCCCGAGGAAAAGAAAUCAACCGAGAUUCCCCCAGUAGCGGCGAGCGAACGGGGAGGAGCCCAGAGCCUGAAUCAGUGUGUGUGUUAGUGGAAGCGUCUGGAAAGGCGCGCGAUACAGGGUGACAGCCCCGUACACAAAAAUGCACAUGCUGUGAGCUCGAUGAGUAGGGCGGGACACGUGGUAUCCUGUCUGAAUAUGGGGGGACCAUCCUCCAAGGCUAAAUACUCCUGACUGACCGAUAGUGAACCAGUACCGUGAGGGAAAGGCGAAAAGAACCCCGGCGAGGGGAGUGAAAAAGAACCUGAAACCGUGUACGUACAAGCAGUGGGAGCCUCUUAAUGGGGUGACUGCGUACCUUUUGUAUAAUGGGUCAGCGACUUAUAUUCUGUAGCAAGGUUAACCGAAUAGGGGAGCCGAAGGGAAACCGAGUCUUAACUGGGCGUUAAGUUGCAGGGUAUAGACCCGAAACCCGGUGAUCUAGCCAUGGGCAGGUUGAAGGUUGGGUAACACUAACUGGAGGACCGAACCGACUAAUGUUGAAAAAUUAGCGGAUGACUUGUGGCUGGGGGUGAAAGGCCAAUCAAACCGGGAGAUAGCUGGUUCUCCCCGAAAGCUAUUUAGGUAGCGCCUCGUGAAUUCAUCUCCGGGGGUAGAGCACUGUUUCGGCAAGGGGGUCAUCCCGACUUACCAACCCGAUGCAAACUGCGAAUACCGGAGAAUGUUAUCACGGGAGACACACGGCGGGUGCUAACGUCCGUCGUGAAGAGGGAAACAACCCAGACCGCCAGCUAAGGUCCCAAAGUCAUGGUUAAGUGGGAAACGAUGUGGGAAGGCCCAGACAGCCAGGAUGUUGGCUUAGAAGCAGCCAUCAUUUAAAGAAAGCGUAAUAGCUCACUGGUCGAGUCGGCCUGCGCGGAAGAUGUAACGGGGCUAAACCAUGCACCGAAGCUGCGGCAGCGACACUAUGUGUUGUUGGGUAGGGGAGCGUUCUGUAAGCCUGUGAAGGUGUGCUGUGAGGCAUGCUGGAGGUAUCAGAAGUGCGAAUGCUGACAUAAGUAACGAUAAAGCGGGUGAAAAGCCCGCUCGCCGGAAGACCAAGGGUUCCUGUCCAACGUUAAUCGGGGCAGGGUGAGUCGACCCCUAAGGCGAGGCCGAAAGGCGUAGUCGAUGGGAAACAGGUUAAUAUUCCUGUACUUGGUGUUACUGCGAAGGGGGGACGGAGAAGGCUAUGUUGGCCGGGCGACGGUUGUCCCGGUUUAAGCGUGUAGGCUGGUUUUCCAGGCAAAUCCGGAAAACCAAGGCUGAGGCGUGAUGACGAGGCACUACGGUGCUGAAGCGACAAAUGCCCUGCUUCCAGGAAAAGCCUCUAAGCAUCAGGUAACAUCAAAUCGUACCCCAAACCGACACAGGUGGUCAGGUAGAGAAUACCAAGGCGCUUGAGAGAACUCGGGUGAAGGAACUAGGCAAAAUGGUGCCGUAACUUCGGGAGAAGGCACGCUGAUAUGUAGGUGAAGCGACUUGCUCGUGGAGCUGAAAUCAGUCGAAGAUACCAGCUGGCUGCAACUGUUUAUUAAAAACACAGCACUGUGCAAACACGAAAGUGGACGUAUACGGUGUGACGCCUGCCCGGUGCCGGAAGGUUAAUUGAUGGGGUUAGCGGUAACGCGAAGCUCUUGAUCGAAGCCCCGGUAAACGGCGGCCGUAACUAUAACGGUCCUAAGGUAGCGAAAUUCCUUGUCGGGUAAGUUCCGACCUGCACGAAUGGCGUAAUGAUGGCCAGGCUGUCUCCACCCGAGACUCAGUGAAAUUGAACUCGCUGUGAAGAUGCAGUGUACCCGCGGCAAGACGGAAAGACCCCGUGAACCUUUACUAUAGCUUGACACUGAACAUUGAGCCUUGAUGUGUAGGAUAGGUGGGAGGCUUUGAAGUGUGGACGCCAGUCUGCAUGGAGCCGACCUUGAAAUACCACCCUUUAAUGUUUGAUGUUCUAACGUUGGCCCGUAAUCCGGGUUGCGGACAGUGUCUGGUGGGUAGUUUGACUGGGGCGGUCUCCUCCUAAAGAGUAACGGAGGAGCACGAAGGUUGGCUAAUCCUGGUCGGACAUCAGGAGGUUAGUGCAAUGGCAUAAGCCAGCUUGACUGCGAGCGUGACGGCGCGAGCAGGUGCGAAAGCAGGUCAUAGUGAUCCGGUGGUUCUGAAUGGAAGGGCCAUCGCUCAACGGAUAAAAGGUACUCCGGGGAUAACAGGCUGAUACCGCCCAAGAGUUCAUAUCGACGGCGGUGUUUGGCACCUCGAUGUCGGCUCAUCACAUCCUGGGGCUGAAGUAGGUCCCAAGGGUAUGGCUGUUCGCCAUUUAAAGUGGUACGCGAGCUGGGUUUAGAACGUCGUGAGACAGUUCGGUCCCUAUCUGCCGUGGGCGCUGGAGAACUGAGGGGGGCUGCUCCUAGUACGAGAGGACCGGAGUGGACGCAUCACUGGUGUUCGGGUUGUCAUGCCAAUGGCACUGCCCGGUAGCUAAAUGCGGAAGAGAUAAGUGCUGAAAGCAUCUAAGCACGAAACUUGCCCCGAGAUGAGUUCU